AAUCCUGCAGUAGCUCCACUAGAGGGAGACACUCUCUGUGAAGCUUCAGACUAAACACAGACGCAGCAAAGCCAACUGUCAGUGUGAGAAUCUAAGCAGACUUCAGAAAGUUCACAUGAGGAUCACUCAGCUGUGUUUUGGACACAUGUUUCCUUUAAUGGCAGCACUGCUCCUGCUUUUGUUGAGUGGAGUCAGAUGUGAAGAGCUCACUGCUCUAAAGCCUGAGGUCUGUGCUCCAGAAGGCUCCUCUGUCUCUCUAGGAUACUUUUAUGAGAGAGGAGCUUCUGGUGGUGAUCAGUUUUAUUGGUAUCGACAAUAUUCAGGAAAACCUCCAGAAUUCAUCUAUUACCAUUUGGGAACAGGAAAAGAAGUUAAAAAGGAAAUCCUGGGACUUUCAGUCCAAAUGAGUGAAGACCAAAAGAAUCUCUAUAUGUCCCUGUCCUCUGCUGCAGUGGGAGACUCUGCUGUGUACUACUGUGCUGUGAGGCCCACAGUGACAGGAAACACACAGACUCUGAACAAAAACCUCUGAGAGAAAACAGCAGUACUCCACACAUCCACUAGAGGGACACACUGUCUAAUUCUGAACUUCAGCAUCGACCGCACACAAUCACAAAAGCAUCAAGAGGUGUGAGAAGAGCCAGACUGUAAGAGAGGAGCAGACACAGACACUUGAGAGGAUUUGAGCUUUUAAGAUGGAGUCUGCCCUGUGUACACUGCUCUCAGCUCUGGUUGUGCUCCUGUGUUCUUCCCCAGAGUGUAAAGGAGAAGACACAGUGACCCAGACACAAGGAGACGCCUCUGUCCCUCAGGGACACACAGCCACAAUACAGUGCACUUUUAAAACAACUUCUACCACUGCAUAUUUGUUCUGGUACAAGCAAGAAGGACGAGGAGCUCCUAAAUACAUGAUGAAGAAAACUAGAUCAUCGUCAAUUUGGCUGGUGAUGGAUUCAAAAUAUAUAUUCAAGUUAUAUGAUGUUAUCUCACUGUUCAUUUUAAAGGUACUGUAGGUACUGUACUGUAACUGUAGUUACUAUAAUCAUUAUAUUCAUUUCAACUAUGUAAACUAUGUAAUCUGCACUAAUGUUUGUUCUUGAGUCUUGCAGAAGUUAUCUUUUGAAAGUUGCAGGAUCCCACGGGAAGAAGGUCACUCUGAAUGUGUGAAACAGAAACAUCUUGGGAAUGACCUUUGGAGAUGCGAAAACAAAAU